AUUAACGCUGGCGGCAUGCCUAAUACAUGCAAGUCGAAUGGUUAGCUUGCUAACCAUGGCGAACGGGUGAGUAACACGUAGGUAACCUGUCUUCAAGACGAGGAUAACCAUUGGAAACGAUGGAUAAUACUGGAUAGGACAAAUCCCCGCAUGAGGAGAUGUUUAAAGGAGCAAUCCACUUGAUGAGGGGCCUGCGGUGCAUUAGUUAGUUGGUGAGGUAACGGCCCACCAAGACGAUGAUGCAUAGCCGGACUGAGAGGUUGAACGGCCACAAUGGAACUGAGAACGGUCCAUACUCCUACGGGAGGCAGCAGUAGGGAAUUUUCGGCAAUGGGCGGAAGCCUGAACCCGAGCAAUGCCGCGUGAAUGAAGAAGUAUUUCGGUAUGUAAAGUUCUUUUAUUUGGGAAGAAAAAACAAAUUGACGGUACCAAAUGAAUAAGCUCCGGCUAACUACGUGCCAGCCGCUGC
rnacentral:rRNA from 1 species